GGACGAACGCUGGCGGCGUGCCUAACACAUGCAUUUCGAACGGGGUAAUUUCUUUCGGGAGAUUACUUAGUGGCGAACGGGUGAGUAACGCGUGAGGAACCUGCCUUUCAGUGGGGGACAACAGUUGGAAACGACUGCUAAUACCGCAUAACACAGACGGACCGCAUGAUCUGUCUGUCAAAGCUUUAAGUGCUGAAAGAUGGCCUCGCGUCUGAUUAGCUAGUUGGUGGGGUAACGGCCUACCAAGGCGACGAUCAGUAGCCGGUCUGAGAGGAUGAACGGCCACAUUGGGACUGAGAUACGGCCCAGACUCCUACGGGAGGCAGCAGUGGGGAAUAUUGGGCAAUGGGGGAAACCCUGACCCAGCAACGCCGCGUGGAGGAAGAAGGUUUUCGGAUCGUAAACUCCUGUCCUCAGGGAAGAGCAGAAGACGGUACCUGAGGAGGAAGCCCCGGCUAACUACGUGCCAGCAGCCGCGGUAAUACGUAGGGGGCAAGCGUUGUCCGGAAUGAUUGGGCGUAAAGGGCGCGUAGGCGGCCCGGUAAGUCUGGAGUGAAAGUCCUGCUUUUAAGGUGGGAAUUGCUUUGGAUACUGUCGGGCUUGAGUGCAGGAGAGGUAAGUGGAAUUCCCAGUGUAGCGGUGAAAUGCGUAGAGAUUGGGAGGAACACCAGUGGCGAAGGCGACUUACUGGACUGUAACUGACGCUGAGGCGCGAAAGUGUGGGGAGCAAACAGGAUUAGAUACCCUGGUAGUCCACACUGUAAACGAUGAUUACUAGGUGUCGGCAGGCAGGGCCUGUCGGUGCCGUCGCAAACGCAGUAAGUAAUCCACCUGGGGAGUACGUUCGCAAGAAUGAAACUCAAAGGAAUUGACGGGGACCCGCACAAGCGGUGGAGCAUGUGGUUUAAUUCGAAGCAACGCGAAGAUCCUUACCAAAUCUUGACAUCCUUCUGACGUACCCGUAAUGGGGUAUUUCCUUCGGGACAGAAGAGACAGGUGGUGCAUGGUUGUCGUCAGCUCGUGUCGUGAGAUGUUGGGUUAAGUCCCGCAACGAGCGCAACCCUUAUCUUUAGUAGCCAGCAGUAAGAUGGGAACUCUAGAGAGACUGCCGGGGAUAACCCGGAGGAAGGUGGGGAUGACGUCAAAUCAUCAUGCCCCUUAUGAUUUGGGCUACACACGUGCUACAAUGGCGUAAACAAAGGGAAGCGAGCCUGUGAAGGUAAGCAAAUCUCAAAAAUAACGUCUCAGUUCGGAUUGUAGUCUGCAACUCGACUACAUGAAG
rnacentral:rRNA from 1 species